GUCGAGCGGACAGAUGGGAGCUUGCUCCCUGAUGUUAGCGGCGGACGGGUGAGUAACACGUGGGUAACCUGCCUGUAAGACUGGGAUAACUCCGGGAAACCGGGGCUAAUACCGGAUGGUUGUCUGAACCGCAUGGUUCAGACAUAAAAGGUGGCUUCGGCUACCACUUACAGAUGGACCCGCGGCGCAUUAGCUAGUUGGUGAGGUAACGGCUCACCAAGGCGACGAUGCGUAGCCGACCUGAGAGGGUGAUCGGCCACACUGGGACUGAGACACGGCCCAGACUCCUACGGGAGGCAGCAGUAGGGAAUCUUCCGCAAUGGACGAAAGUCUGACGGAGCAACGCCGCGUGAGUGAUGAAGGUUUUCGGAUCGUAAAGCUCUGUUGUUAGGGAAGAACAAGUGCCGUUCAAAUAGGGCGGCACCUUGACGGUACCUAACCAGAAAGCCACGGCUAACUACGUGCCAGCAGCCGCGGUAAUACGUAGGUGGCAAGCGUUGUCCGGAAUUAUUGGGCGUAAAGGGCUCGCAGGCGGUUUCUUAAGUCUGAUGUGAAAGCCCCCGGCUCAACCGGGGAGGGUCAUUGGAAACUGGGGAACUUGAGUGCAGAAGAGGAGAGUGGAAUUCCACGUGUAGCGGUGAAAUGCGUAGAGAUGUGGAGGAACACCAGUGGCGAAGGCGACUCUCUGGUCUGUAACUGACGCUGAGGAGCGAAAGCGUGGGGAGCGAACAGGAUUAGAUACCCUGGUAGUCCACGCCGUAAACGAUGAGUGCUAAGUGUUAGGGGGUUUCCGCCCCUUAGUGCUGCAGCUAACGCAUUAAGCACUCCGCCUGGGGAGUACGGUCGCAAGACUGAAACUC
rnacentral:rRNA from 1 species